rnacentral:rRNA from 1 species
AGAGUUUGAUCCUGGCUCAGGACGAACGCUGGCGGCACGCUUAACACAUGCAAGUCGAACGAGAGAAGAGAAGCUUGCUUUUCUGAUCUAGUGGCGGACGGGUGAGUAACACGUGAGCAAUCUGCCUUUCAGAGGGGGAUACCGAUUGGAAACGAUCGUUAAUACCGCAUAACAUAAUUGAACCGCAUGAUUUGAUUAUCAAAGAUUUAUCGCUGAAAGAUGAGCUCGCGUCUGAUUAGCUAGUUGGUAAGGUAACGGCUUACCAAGGCGACGAUCAGUAGCCGGACUGAGAGGUUGAUCGGCCACAUUGGGACUGAGACACGGCCCAGACUCCUACGGGAGGCAGCAGUGAGGAAUAUUGGGCAAUGGGGGCAACCCUGACCCAGCCAUGCCGCGUGAGUGAAGAAGGUUUUCGAAUUGUAAAGCUCUUUCGGAUGUGACGAUGAUGACGGUAGCAUCUAAAGAAGCCCCGGCAAACUUCGUGCCAGCAGCCGCGGUAAUACGAAGGGGGCGAGCGUUGUUCGGAAUUACUGGGCGUAAAGGGUGUGUAGGUGGACGUGUAAGAUAGCGGUGAAAUGCCGGAGCUCAACUUCGGAAUUGCCAUUAUAACUAUGCGUCUAGAAUUAUAGAGAGGAUAGCGGAAUACCCAGUGUAGAGGUGAAAUUCGUAGAUAUUGGGUAGAACACCAGUGGCGAAGGCGGCUAUCUGGCUAUAUAUUGACACUGAGGCACGAAAGCAUGGGGAUCAAACAGGAUUAGAUACCCUGGUAGUCCAUGCCGUAAACGAUGAAUGCUGGUUGUCGGACGAAUGUUCGGUGACGAAGUUAACGCGAUAAGCAUUCCGCCUGGGGAGUACGGCCGCAAGGUUAAAACUCAAAGGAAUUGACGGGGACCCGCACAAGCGGUGGAGCAUGUGGUUUAAUU